CUCAAUAAUUUAUUGUCGACCUCGUUUCUAUUAAAAAAACUUUACACAAAUAAAUAAAGUUGCUUUACUGUUUUGAGCUCCAUGGUGUUUGGUUAGAUAGUUAACAAUUACCACCUGUUAUACUGUAUUAUAAUAUUUUUUUAUGAAAAUUCAAGAAUGUUUAAUAUAAAUAAUCUGAUUAAGCAACCAAAAAUUUAAAUACAUGCGUUUAAAUAGUUUAAACAAAGUAUAUUGAAUGAACAUAUAGGUGUGUGUAAAAAGAGUGAUUUAUAAUAUGAGUUCCAUUGACGAUGCAGGUUUUGAAAAUGUGGCUCUAGAUGAUGAUAAGACACCAAGAACCCCAAACAGUGAUGAUGAUUUUGAUGAUGACUUGGGUGUUCCACACUCUCUUAUGAUUGUGUCUGUAG